rnacentral:tRNA from 1 species
UCUCUGUUAGUAUAUCGGUUAGUACACGCGCCUGUCAUUUAUCGUGACCGCGCGAAAGCGGGGUUCGACUCCCCGACAGAGAG